AUUGAACGCUGGCGGCAGGCCUAACACAUGCAAGUCGAACGGUAGCACAGAGAGCUUGCUCUCGGGUGACGAGUGGCGGACGGGUGAGUAAUGUCUGGGAAACUGCCUGAUGGAGGGGGAUAACUACUGGAAACGGUAGCUAAUACCGCAUAACGUCGCAAGACCAAAGAGGGGGACCUUCGGGCCUCUUGCCAUCAGAUGUGCCCAGAUGGGAUUAGCUAGUAGGUGGGGUAACGGCUCACCUAGGCGACGAUCCCUAGCUGGUCUGAGAGGAUGACCAGCCACACUGGAACUGAGACACGGUCCAGACUCCUACGGGAGGCAGCAGUGGGGAAUAUUGCACAAUGGGCGCAAGCCUGAUGCAGCCAUGCCGCGUGUAUGAAGAAGGCCUUCGGGUUGUAAAGUACUUUCAGCGGGGAGGAAGGCGAUAAGGUUAAUAACCUUGUCGAUUGACGUUACCCGCAGAAGAAGCACCGGCUAACUCCGUGC
rnacentral:rRNA from 1 species